AUUGAACGCUGGCGGCAUGCCUUACACAUGCAAGUCGAACGGCAGCACGGGAGCAAUCCUGGUGGCGAGUGGCGAACGGGUGAGUAAUAUAUCGGAACGUGCCCAGUCGUGGGGAUAACGUAGCGAAAGCUACGCUAAUACCGCAUACGAUCUAUGGAUGAAAGCGGGGAUCGCAGACCUCGCGCGAUUGGAGCGGCCGAUAUCAGAUUAGGUAGUUGGUGAGGUAAAGGCUCACCAAGCCGACGAUCUGUAGCUGGUCUGAGAGGACGACCAGCCACACUGGGACUGAGACACGGCCCAGACUCCUACGGAGGCAGCAGUGGGGAAUUUUUGGGACAAUGGGCGCAAGCCUGAUCCAGCAAUGCCGCGUGCAGGAUGAAGGCC
rnacentral:rRNA from 1 species